AGAGUUUGAUCCUGGCUCAGAGCGAACGCUGGCGGCAGGCCUAAAACAUGCAAGUCGAACGGAUCCUUCGGGAUUAGUGGCGACGGGUGAGUAACACGUGGGAACGUGCCUUUUGGUUCGGAACAACUCAGGGAAACUUGAGCUAAUACCGAAUGUGCCCUUCGGGGGAAAGAUUUAUCGCCAUUAGAGCGGCCCGCGUCUGAUUAGCUUGUUGGUGAGGUAAAAGGCUCACCAAGGCGACGAUCAGUAGCUGGUCUGAGAGGAUGAUCAGCCACACUGGGACUGAGGCACGGCCCAGACUCCUACGGGAGGCAGCAGUUAGGAAUCUUGCGCAAUGGGGGAAACCCUGACGCAGCCAUGCCGCGUGAAUGAUGAAGGUCUUAGGAUUGUAAAAAUUCUUUCACCGGGGACGAUAAUGACGGUACCCGGAGAAGAAGCCCCGGCUAACUUCGUG
rnacentral:rRNA from 1 species